rnacentral:rRNA from 1 species
UACGUAGGGACCAAGCGUUGUUCGGAUUUACUGGGCGUAAAGGGCGCGUAGGCGGCAAUUCAAGUCAUCUGUGAAAUCUCCGGGCUUAACCCGGAACGGUCAGAUGAUACUGCUUUGCUAGAGUGCGGAAGGGGCAAUCGGAAUUCUUGGUGUAGCGGUGAAAAUGCGUAGAUAUCAAGAGGAACACCUGAGGUGAAGACGGGUUGCUGGGCCGACACUGACGCUGACAGCGCGAAAGCCAGGGGAGCAAACGGG